GGCAUGGUGAUAGCAUGUGCAUAGAUAGUGUGGCCUAUAUUUAUGUUCUUCAUUAAAGAUAGUCAGAGAUAACCCAAAUGUAACUGUUCCCAUGGGUCCAUUCUCAGUAUCCAAACAAAAUGGCAAAUCCUAUCCUAGUAAAACUAAUGAAAAACACAGUCUUUAACAAAGACAUUGUGAAGGAAAGGGGGAGAGAAAGGCUUGCAUCCCACACCACACAACAAAACUUAUUUAAUUAUGUUUCAUUUUCUCCCUCUGAAAAUUUCCUCUCCCUCUCUCUGUACGUCUCUCUUCUCCCACAUCUGGCCACACUCUACCAGUCACCUUUCCAGAUCUUUCCAGAACUCUCCAUCCUAGUUUCAUUAUGCCAGAAGUUGAACAUCUCACAGGUCUCCAGGAUGCAUCCUCAUCACUUAUUCCACAAAGACAAACAAAGGACACUUCUCAGGAUCACGUUUCUUGGAAGGAAGAAGUCAUGAGGAGUGAUUAUAAAUAAUAUAAGGUGAAGAGCAGUGACUUAAAAUACCAUUUUUCCUCUUAGAAUGUGAAUUCAGGGAACUUUGGGAAACUAGAAAAUCUAGAAAGGAUUCAUUGAUAAUUGUUUAUUUUCAAUGAAUAAAAUAAAAUGUAAUAAUACGGCUAAACUCUGACAGAUUAACUUUUUCAAAAGUUGCUUUCACACACCUUCACUAUUGGGAUGUUUGAUAAACACAUCUUUCUUCUUUCUUUGCAGAUACUGGCACCAAACUUUCAAACAAUAAGAACCUUCCCAUAAGUCCCUUGCCAGGCAAGAUUAAGGUAUAACAAUCCAAACAGAUUUUUGAAGAAGAUGACUGGUUGAAAGCACAGGAAAAGAGCUGGGUUUCUCUUUUUCAACAGUCACAUAAUGAGUCAUGUGGGAAUUGGUUUACAAAGUCUCUCUCCAUGAGGGGCUAAGGUUAAGAUUAGAACUUCUGAGGCCAGAAGAGCAAAAUAACUACAACAACACACAUAUUUUCAAGAGCCGCCCUUUGGAUGUGAGGGAUUGAUUUUUCCCACGCUUUUUUCAGCAACCCAACUGGUGUCUUUAGUAAAUGACAUAAGGGAAUACAGUGUGGCCAAGAAGGCUUAGAUUUCCUUAGCUGCAAGUCAGAUAUUCUCAAGUGACUGUCCACUGAAAUUAAAAAGAGAGAUUUACAAGAGGAAACUGGAUACAACUGAGUGUACUUUUAUUUCAGCCCUUUACCUGAAUGUUUUGUUUUGUUUUCAGUUCUCCACUGAAGUUGCCUACAUUAAUAUAUUUUUAAGAACAUUUCCUUAAGUUGAAGUAUUCAUUCAGUAUAUUCAUUUACUAUAAUUGAGAAAAGCCAAAUGACUUAGGCAAAUUCAUUUCUAUAUUGCCACAGCAGUGUAUUGUGAACUAAAUGACACCUGGCAGUUCUUUACUCAGAUACUAACUCAAUUAGAAGGCAGAACAAUGAUAGCUACCCAUUGAGGGAAGGAAAGGACACUUAGCCUCUGUAGCUGUCUUAGGUCUCUUAUCAUCACAGUAACAAAUUGAAGACUAAAAACCAUACGAUCAUCUCAAUAGAUGCAGAAAAAGCUUUUGAAAAAAUUCAAUAUCCAUUCAUGGUAAAAACUCUCCAGAAAGUGGGCACAGAGGGAACAUACCUCAACAUAAUAAAGGCCAUAUAUGACAAGCCCAUAGCUAACAUACUCAAUGGUGAAAAGCUGAAAGCAUUUCCCCUAAGAUUAGGAACAAGACAAGGAUGCCCACUCUAACCACUUUUAUUGAACAGAGUUUUGGAAGUCCUAGCCACAGCAAUCAGACAAGAAAAAAUAAAUAAAUAAAAGGACUCCAAAAUGGAAAGGAAAAAGUAAAACUGUCCCUGUUUGCAGAUGGCAUGAUACAUAGAAAAUCUGAAAGACACCAUCAAAAAACUAUUCGAGCUCAAACAUGAACUUGGUAAAUUUGCAGGAUACAAUAGAUUUCUAUAUAUAAAUUUUGUAUUUCUAUACACUCACAGUGAACUAUCAGAAAGAGAAAUUAAGGAAACAAUCCCAUUUACAAUCGCAUAAAAAAGAAUAAAAUACAUAAGAAUAAACCUGCCUAAGGAGGUAAAAGACCUGUACCCAGGAAACUAUAUGACACUCAUAAAAGAAAUGAAAGAUGACACAAACAGCUGGAAAGAUAUACCAUGGUCACGGAUUGGAAGAAUUAAUAUUGUUAAAAUGACCAUCAUACCCAAGGAAAUCUACGGAUUCAGUGUGGUCUGUAUCAACAUAUCAAGGGCAUUUUCCACAGACCUAGAAUAAAUAAUUUUAAAGUUUGUGUGGAAACACAAAAGAUCCUGAAUAGCUAAAACAGUCUUGAGAAAGAAGAACACAACUGGAGGAAUCAUGCUCCCUGGCUUCAGACUGUGCUACAAACCUACAGUAAUCAAAACAGUAUGGUACCGGCACAAAAACAUCCAUCACUGGAACAGAAUAGAGAGCCCAGAAAGAAACCUAUGCACUUAUGGUCAAUGAAUCUAUGACAAAGGAGGCAAGAAUAUGUAAUGGAGAAAAGUCUGGGCUUCCUUAGGGAUGGUUUCAUCAAUUAAUUUGUUUUCUUAAAUGGACCAUACUUUUCCAUGUCUUUGUAUACCUUGUGAGUUUUUUGGUUGAACAUUUGGCUUUCAAAUAUUGUAAUGUGGUGUCUAUGGAAAUCAGAUUCUCCCACUUUCCCAGGGUUUUCUGGGCUUUUGAUUGUUGAAGGCUGUAGUAGUCUGUUUGUUUAGGGACCUUUCCAAACUAGUUUUGCAAUGACUGUACCCUUAUCGUAUGUAGGCACUGAAAUCUCUGUUCCUUUAGUUCAUGUUUAGCUAAUGUUUUGACAGAGAUGUCCUUGAAUUCCUGCACCUAAGACAAACAAAAACAAAUAUACACAAGCACAUCCACAUGCACACUCAAAACCACACACCUCUCCCCAUUGUGCAGAUUGCUGGAUCACUCCUUAACAUUUAGCUGACCUGCACUGAGUUCAGGGCUCAGCCCAUGGUAAAAGCUUAGAGACUCCUCUGGUGUUUUCAGAACAUGCAUCUUAUCUUGAGUAUGCAUGUGGCUUUCUUAAUUUCUCUGGACACAUGUGUACUUUUUGUAUGUUCUAAGUUCCCAAAGAAUCUCCCCCAACUUUUGCUCCUGCAUCUUAUGUGGUCUAUUGUAUUUCAAUGCACAGUCUUCUGCCCCAGCCAUCUGUGCUUUGUUAGUUCACCUUGCACUUUUUUUGAGCAAUGACCGCUGCUUUUCCAGACUGUGUUCCAGGUUAGCUAAGACAGAGAUAAGCGUCUUGUGUCAGUCCUUCAGGUAGCUCCCAGACAGGUUAGAACAGAUACACAUAAUAAUCCGAGAGUACGGUCUCUUCUGCUCCCUCCUGAAGCAGGAUUGAGGGUCCCAUACUAGGAAUGGUCUGCUGCUACUUUAAGACUAUCACUGCAUUAAAACCCCACCACUUUAAGACCACCACUACACUAACAGUAGAUGGGGCAAGGGCAAGUAAAAAUGCCACAAAGCUUUCCUGCCAUUUUCAAAUUGCCCCUUCCCUGGUUCAGUAUGUGUUUGGUUGCUGUAAAUCUUUGCCUGAUUUCAGGACUAAGAGAAACUCAAGGAACGCCACAACAAGAAACAGUAUAAUCAAACUCUCAGAUGCCAAAAGACAGAGAAAGAAUCUUUACUCCCAAAGGAGAAAGAAAAAACAAACUUGUUACAAAGCAGGGAUCCUCAAAAAGGUUCAUAGCUAAUUUCCUAUCUGAAACCACAGAAGAGGCCAGACAUAUUUAAAGUGCUGAAAGAAAAAAAUUGUCCACCAAGAAUUCUAUAUUUAGCCAAACUGGUUUCAAAACUUAGGGAGAAAUUAACACAUUCCCAGAUGAACAAAGGCUGAGGGCGUUUGUUUUACAACUUCCUAACACUGCCCUAUGACAAAUGCUAAAUUGAACCUUCAGGUUGAAAUGAAAGGACACUAGACAGCAACUCGAAGCUGUAUAAAGAAAUAGAAAUCUCCAGUAAAGAUAAAUACAUGGGCAGAUACUAAAGCCAGUAUUGUGCUACUGGCUUGUAAUUCUACUUUUUAUUUCUUACAUGAUUGAAAAAACAAAUGCAUAAAAUAAUCAUAAAUCCAUGUUAUUGGGCUCACAAAGUAUAAAGGUGUAAUUUGUGACAACAAUAAUGUAAGGAGGAUGAAUGGAACUGUAGAGGAACAGAGUUUCUGUGUGCUAUUGAAGUUGGUUACAAUUCAAAUGAUACUGGUUGAACUUUAGAAGGGUAAAUUAUAUGCUGUCCGCAAAAAACUCACUUGAUUUCAAGAGACACAAGUUGGUUGAAAGUUAAAGCACAGAAUAAAAUAUCCCAUGCAAAUAGUAACAAAAAGAAAGAAAGAGAGAGAAAGAAAAAGGAAGGAAGGAAGGAAGGAAGGAAGGAAGGAAGGAAGGAAGAUAGAUCUGGGAUGGCUACGUUAAUAUCACACAAAAUAAACUUUAAAUCAAAAACUAUCACAAGAGGAAAAUGAGGACACUAUAUGUUGAUAACAAGUUCAAUCUAUCAAGAAGAUAUAACAACUAUAAACAUAUAUGUACCAAACAUCCCCCAAAUAUGUGAAGCAGACAUUGACAGAAUUGAAGGAAGAAAUAGAUAGUUCUAAAAUAAUAGUUGGAGAUGAAUACCUUGCUUUCAAUAAUGGAUAACACAUCUAGACAGAAGAUCAGUAGAGAGGUUAGGGGACUGAAUAACACAUUUAACCAACUAAACCUAACAGCCAUAUAUAGAUCACUCCACUCAACAACAGCAGAAUACACAUUUUUCUCAAGUACACAUGGAACAUUCUCCAGGAAAGACCAUAUGUUAUGCCACAAUACAAGUACCAAAACAUUUUUAAGAAACUGAAAUCAUACAAAGUAUCUUCUUUAGCCACAGUGAAAUGAAGGUAGAAAUCAAUAACAGAACGAUUGGUAGCCAUUUCCCAUCAUGCCUGCCACACAUGAUAUAAAGCAAUGAAGGGGAAAACAUACUUGACCAUUUAGAAAAGUGGCAAAGAGGACAUACCAUUGACACAGAGUGUGUGCUGUUUCCCGUUGUCAGAGAUAGAAAUAAAUUAGCAUCAUUUAUUCAUUAGUGUGUUAAUUUCUUGGUCAAUCAUUGCGCAGCCAGUGUUUCUGCCUGAUGGGAAGUUUUCCUAUACUCAGUGUUGAGUGGAGACAACCUUGAAAGGGACAUUUAAAAGGAUUAUACUGUGAUGGGCUUAGCAGUACCCUUCCUCCUAUGCCAGUAUUUAGGCUGGGGUAUUUCCAUGUAGUGUGUAUAAUCGUAGGCCCCAGGUCACCAGAAUUUAGUUGGAUUCGUUUUGUUAAUACAUUCCCUCAGUACUUUGUCUUUUAUUUGACUGUUGCAUUUACUUCAUUCUUUAUUACCACUGCAAAACAACUUUGUUUCCUGUUCAGAUGCCAAAAAAUGGAUAUCAAUACCUCCUGAGUUUUACACAUCACAGGUCUGUUUUACAUAUCAGAGACAGAGACAGCAACUAUUUCCAAUGACUUUGAGACAUGCUUUGAAAAUGUGAUUAACAUGUGGAGUGUUGAAAUGUGUGUCGAGCUCAUUAUACUUGCUCUAAAAGGUUUCAAACUGCAAAGAUUUAAAAAUCUUUAUCUUUGAAUAGUUUUCCUGUGCUGUCCCUUUGUGUCAGACUGUUAAUGUGCAGUCUGGCACCUUCAAAUAAUAUGGCUUUGUAACCAAUUAUUUACAUGUUGUUUUAUCCACAGAGAAUCUUUUUUUAAUAAAUUUAUUUAUUUUUGGCUGUG